rnacentral:rRNA from 1 species
GACGAACGCUGGCGGCGUGCUUAACACAUGCAAGUCGAACGGAAAGGCCCUGCUUUUGUGGGGUGCUCGAGUGGCGAACGGGUGAGUAACACGUGAGUAACCUGCCCUUGACUUUGGGAUAACUUCAGGAAACUGGGGCUAAUACCGGAUAGGAGCUCCUGCUGCAUGGUGGGGGUUGGAAAGUUUCGGCGGUUGGGGAUGGACUCGCGGCUUAUCAGCUUGUUGGUGGGGUAGUGGCUUACCAAGGCUUUGACGGGUAGCCGGCCUGAGAGGGUGACCGGCCACAUUGGGACUGAGAUACGGCCCACACUCCUACGGGAGGCAGCAGUGGGGAAUAUUGCACAAUGGGCGGAAGCCUGAUGCAGCAACGCCGCGUGCGGGAUGACGGCCUUCGGGUUGUAAACCGCUUUCGCCUGUGACGAAGCGUGAGUGACGGUAAUGGGUAAAGAAGCACCGGCUAACUACGUGCCAGCAGCCGCGGUGAUACGUAGGUGCGAGCGUUGUCCGGAUUUAUUGGGCGUAAAGGGCUCGUAGGUGGUUGAUCGCGUCGGAAGUGUAAUCUUGGGGCUUAACCCUGAGCGUGCUUUCGAUACGGGUUGACUUGAGGAAGGUAGGGGAGAAAUGGAAUUCCUGGUGGAGCGGUGGAAUGCGCAGAUAUCAGGAGGAACACCAGUGGCGAAGGCGGUUCUCUGGGCCUUUCCUGACGCUGAGGAGCGAAAGCGUGGGGAGCGAACAGGCUUAGAUACCCUGGUAGUCCACGCUGUAAACGGUGGGUACUAGGUGUGGGGUCCAUUCCACGGGUUCCGUGCCGUAGCUAACGCUUUAAGUACCCCGCCUGGGGAGUACGGCCGCAAGGCUAAAACCCAAAGGAAUUGACGGGGCCCCGCACAAGCGGCGGAGCAUGCGGAUUAAUUCGAUGCAACGCGUAGAACCUUACCUGGGUUUGACAUGGAUCGGGAGUGCUCAGAGAUGGGUGUGCCUCUUUUGGGGUCGGUUCACAGGUGGUGCAUGCCUGUCGUCAGCUCGUGUCGUGAGAUGUUGGGUUAAGUCCCGCAACGAGCGCAACCCUUGUUCACUGUUGCCAGCACGUUAUGGUGGGGACUCAGUGGAGACCGCCGGGGUCAACUCGGAGGAAGGUGGGGAUGACGUCAAGUCAUCAUGCCCCUUAUGUCCAGGGCUUCACGCAUGCUACAAUGGCUGGUACAGAGAGUGGCGAGCCUGUGAGGGUGAGCGAAUCUCGGAAAGCCGGUCUCAGUUCGGAUUGGGGUCUGCAACUCGACCUCAUGAAGUCGGAGUCGCUAGUAAUCGCAGAUCAGCAACGCUGCGGUGAAUACGUUCCCGGGGCU